rnacentral:rRNA from 1 species
AUUCCAGCUCCAAUAGCGUAUAUUAAAGUUGUUGUGGUUAAAAAGCUCGUAGUUGGAUCUCGGCGGUCUGAGGGCGGUUCGCUUCAGAGCGCUACUGCCCUAUAGACCGUAGUUUUGCCAGAGGUCUCAGGGUGCUCUUAACCGAGUGUCUUGCGAUGCUGGCAGGUUUACUUUGAAAAAAUUAGAGUGCUCAAAGCAGGCUUUUACGCCUGAAUAUUCGUGCAUGGAAUAAUAGAAUAGGAAGUCGUUUCUAUUUUGUUGGUUUCUAGGACCGAAGUAAUGAUUAAUAGGGACAGUUGGGGGCAUUCAUAUUCCAUUGCCAGAGGUGAAAUUCUUGGAUUUAUGGAAGACGAACUACUGCGAAAGCAUUUACCAAGGAUGUUUUCAUUG